UACGUAGGGUGCAAGCGUUAAUCGGAAUUACUGGGCGUAAAGCGUGCGCAGGCGGUUAUGUAAGACAGGUGUGAAAUCCCAGGGCUUAACCUUGGAACUGCAUUUGUGACUGCAUAGCUAGAGUACGGUAGAGGGGGAUGGAAUUCCGCGUGUAGCAGUGAAAUGCGUAGAUAUGCGGAGGAACACCGAUGGCGAAGGCAAUCCCCCUGGACCUGUACUGACGCUCAUGCACGAAAGCGUGGGGGAGCAAACAGG
rnacentral:rRNA from 1 species